rnacentral:rRNA from 1 species
UACGGAGGGUGCAAGCGUUAAUCGGAAUUACUGGGCGUAAAGCGCGCGUAGGCGGCUUGAUCAGUCAGAUGUGAAAUCCCCGGGCUCAACCUGGGAACUGCAUUUGAUACUGUCAAGCUAGAGUAUGUUAGAGGAAAGCGGAAUUCCGGGUGUAGCGGUGAAAUGCGUAGAUAUCCGGAGGAACAUCAGUGGCGAAGGCG